AAAACACGUUAAUUGAAAACCCGAAUGUGUAAUGAAUGAUGAAAAGUAAAACGGGUAGCACCGACCACAAUAACGGAAACCACGAUCUCUGACCGACUGACUGACUACCACGAUCUCUGACUGACUGACUAUUCUCACUUUCCACCGAAUCGAAUUCUCUCUCAUUCGAAGAAAAACGAACUCAACUGUGUCUGCGAGAACUCCAAUUCCUAAACCCUAGCUUGAAUCCAACGAUUCAGUUUCGCUGUUGACUUUUGUGGUGUUUGGGGAGUGAGAAAUGCAGCGUGCUCCGGUGACAGUUGAGGAACAGUUGUUACAAAAAGCGAUUAAGGAAGAGUGUACAUGGGAGAACCUUCCGAAGCGGAUUCAAGCUACUCUUUCUUCUAAAGAAGAAUGGCACAGAAGGAUAAUUGAAAUUUGCAUAAAGAAGAGACUUCAAUGGAAUGGUUGUUUUGCUCGUAAAGUUUGUAAAGAAAGUGAAUAUUAUGAAGAGAUGAUGCGUUACUUGCGAAAGAAUCUUGCUCUAUUUCCUUAUCAUCUGGCUGAGUAUAUUUGCCGUGUAAUGAGAGUAUCGCCUUUCAGAUAUUAUUGUGAUAUGAUUUUUGAAGUAAUGAGAAAUGAGCAACCUUAUGACAGCAUCCCAAAUUUUAGUGCAGCAGAUGCUUUAAGACUUACAGGAAUUGGGAGAAAUGAAUUUAUUGAUAUAAUGAACAAGUGCAGAUCUAAGAAAAUUAUGUGGAAACUGAACAAGUCAAUUGCAAAAGAACUUUUACCAACACAACCUGUGGAUUUUCCUAUUGAACCUUGGUGGGGAGUUUGUCUGGUGAACUUUACUUUGGAAGAAUUUAAGAAACUUUCAGAAGAGGAAAUGGCCAUGAUAGAUAAAGUAUGUAAGGAGGAAGCAAAUUCAUUUAUCCUGUUUGAUCCUGAUGUUGUAAAGGGUCUUUAUAGCCGGGGAUUGAUCUAUUUUGAUGUUCCUGUAUAUCCUGAUGAUCGGUUUAAAGUUUCCAUGCUUGAAGGUUUUGUUUCCAACAGGGAGCAGUCUUAUGAAGAUCCUAUUGAAGAGUUAUUAUACGCAGUUUUUGUUGUUUCAAAUGAAAAUGCAUCUGUUGCUGAAUUGGCAACAACCCUACAGGCUGACUUGUCACAACUGCAGGCUGCUGCGUCUUUUGUUUGUCGAUUGGGAUGGGCGACAAAAGUAAUUGAUCCAGCAUCUAUUCUUCAAGAUACAAAGAUACCCGGGUCUCCUAAAAGUGCAGUCAGUGAUGAAGAUACUUCUAUUGCUAGUCAUGGUUUUGAUAAUAUGCUUAUUGAUAAUGAUAACAAUCAAGGCGAUGCCUAUGGUCCUCAUUCUUCCUAUACUCGUGUUGCUUUCAUAGUUGAUGCUAAUAUAACAUCAUAUCUUAUGAUGGGUUCUGUUUCACCAGGCCUGAAAUCUCAUGCUGUUACACUCUAUGAAGCGGGUAAAUUGGGUCAUGCCAGUAUUGCUGAUCUUUGCAAGGAUCUUAGCACUCUGGAAGGUGCCAAAUUUGAGGGAGAACUGCAGGAAUUUGCAAAUCAUGCAUUUAGCUUGCGUUGUGUAUUAGAAUGUCUACAAUCAGGUGGAGUUGCUUCUGAUGCAAAAGUGGGUGAAGAUAAGAUGAAUUUGGUUACUGUAAGCAAUGAUGAGCCUAGUUCUCCAAUAUCUGAAAUCUCUCUGACUGACAAAUCAGGAGAAUCUGGUAUUACAGAAGCUGGGAUGAAUAAUUAUGAUAUAUUAAGUUCAGAUUUAGAGAAGUUAGUAGAGGCUCUUGCUUCCACUGAAGCUGCUCCUAGUAAUAUGGUUGGUGGAACCUGUUCUAUUCCUUUUGAAGGUGAUGGUAGUCAUGUACAGGAAGCCAAUGAAGAUGGAAAUCUCCAGAAUAAUGACAAACUUAUGGUAGAAGAGUCAGAUGUUGGAACUGAAAUGUUAAAAAGAAAAAAGAAAUAUCGUGUAGACAUUCUCCGCUGUGAAAGCUUGGCUUCUCUUGCACCGGCAACCCUUGAUCGAUUGUUUGUUCGUGAUUAUGAUGUAGUUGUGUCCAUAGUGCCUCUUCCUUUUUCAUCAGUUCUUCCUGGAUCCACAGGUCUGGUUCAUUUUGGUCCCCCCUCGUAUUCUUUUAUGACUCCUUGGAUGAAAUUGGUAUUGUAUUCAACUGUAGCUAGUGGGCCUCUAUCAGUUGUUCUGAUGAAAGGACAGUGUCUGCGCUUCCUUCCUGCUCCAUUGGCUGGUUGUGAGAAAGCUCUAAUAUGGUCUUGGGAUGGUUCCACAGUAGGAGGGUUGGGAGGGAAGCAUGAAGGAAAUUUAGUAAAGGGAAGUAUACUCCUACAUUGUUUAAAUUCACUUCUUAAACAUUCAGCUGUGCUGGUGCAGCCUCUAAGUAGGUUUGACCUUGAUGAAUCUAGUAAGGUGAUUACAGUGGAUAUCCCUUUGCCCUUAAAGAAUUCUGAUGGAUCAAUUAUCUCUGUUGGAAAAGAGUUAGGAUUAUGUGAAGGGGAAAGUUCAAAACUGAAGUCUCUCCUGACUAAUUUGGCAAACAAGAUGGAACUGUGGACAGUUGGGUAUAUUCGCCUACUGAAAUUAUAUAAUGUACGAGAAUCAAACCAGUUCUCACCUGAAGAGAAGUAUGAAUGGGUUCCGUUGAGUAUUGAAUUUGGGAUGCCACUAUUCAGUCCAAAGGUGUGUAAUAAUAUAUGUCAAAGGGUUGUUUCUUCUGAGUUACUUCAAUCUGACUCAUUUGAAGAACACCGUCAUGCAAUGCAAAACUUAAGGAAAAACUUGUGUGACAUUUGUGCUGAGUACCAAGCAACAGGUCCUGCUGCAAAGGUUCUUUACCAGAAGGAGAAAGCUAAGGAAUCCUCACGACAACUUAUGAAUUAUGCUAGUGGAAGGUGGAAUCCGCUCAUGGACCCUUCUUCUCCAAUUUCAGGGGCCUCAAGUGAACAUCAAAGGUUAAAACUGGCAAAUCGACAACGCUGCCGAACUGAAGUUUUAAGCUUUGAUGGCAGCAUUCUUAGAUCUUAUGCUUUAACUCCUGUUUAUGAAGCUGCUACAAGGCCCAUUGAAGAAGCUACUCAAGCCAACACAAUAAAAGCUGAAACAGAUGAGUGUGAUAGUAAAGAAGUAAUCCUUCCUGGAGUAAAUCUUAUUUUUGACGGUUCUGAGUUGCAUCCGUUUGAUAUAGGUGCCUGCCUCCAGGCACGUCAACCUAUUUCUUUAAUAGCAGAGGCAACAGCUGGCUCAGCAUCUUUAGCAACCAAAUAGUUCUGCAGUUAACAUAGGUUACACCACUUCGAAGUGCAUGAAUGGUAAUGCUACUGUUUGGUUUGUUACCAUCUUCGAAAUUCUUCGUUGCCCUUAUAGUUGGGCUCUGAUUGAAGGCUGCAUUUGUUUUGGGUUUUGCUAGAUCAAGAAAUUCACGUCAGUUAGAGGCAAGAACUGAAGAACUGUGUAACCGUUGUUAAUCAAGUUCAUAGAUGUACAACAAUAUUAUUUUUACAUGCUUGCAGCAAACGGACAUUGAGCCACCGUAAUUCAUAUUGGAGAAAAAUAUGGCCUACGAAACAUCAUUAUUGCGUUCCGUUUUUAAAAAUGUGAAUUCAGGAAAAAUAUCGAGCCUGAUUAAUCUUUUUGCGACACGUCCGUUGCAGAUAAGAACUAUUGCUUGUCCUGACCGAGAACGUCAAGAUCAUUCAAAGAUUAAAAUUAGAACGGCCAGCCAAGUGUUAGAUAUUCUUUUAUUUUCCAAGACCUUUUAGCAACCCAAAUUGAUUCUUCUAAGAGAUACAUUGAAUAUCAAGUUGGUCAUUUUACAAAUUCAGAAAUGAGGCUAGUUCAAUGUUUAUAGAUUCUGAUUUCUUUCGAGACUACCUAAAUUAGACUGAUACUAGAAUGUUUUGUAGA